UUUAAAAUUCUUCUCAAGAACUACGACGCUACAAUUUAUGAGAUUACUAUGCAAACGUCCUCAAAAUUGUUAAAAUCGUGCCCUCUGGACUAUUACUGGGACCCCAAGAGGGGGUUAAAGUUUUACAUAGAAAUAUAAAGGGGUAAUGUUUAAGAAUUUUCUCAAGAAUUACAAUGCUACAAUUUGUGAUUUUACUAUGAAAGCAUCCACAAAGUGGAUUCUAAAUUGUUUAAAAACAGUGACCUCCGGACUAAAACUGGGGCCCGAAAAAGGGGUUCAAAGUUUAACAUAGAAAUAGAUUGGGAAAAUGUUUACAAUUCUUCUCAUGUUCACACAAACUUUUGUAAAAGAAUUUUGAAAGUUUAAAAAUGCGCGUCAAACAUCAUAGUUUAUUCAGAGUUAGGUAGUUUACCUAUGAGUGUUAUAUGUAAAUUAAUUUUGCAUUAUUAUGUAUUGGUUAAAAUUGUUAUAAAAAUUGUAUAUUACGCAAUAUCUAUGAAGAAUUGGUUUCACAAUUGAUACCAAAUACAUGGUGUUUUAAUGUUAGAGAAUUAUUAGUAUCACUUCGUAUGUAUGAAGUAUGGCUUUCACAGAAUGUGGCUAACACUAAUGUUUUCUUAAAAAUUGUACAGCAGAGGUUGUCUGAUUUUUUUUUAUACAGGAAAGGGACGCAUUUCGAGUCUAAAUGUUUAUUGUACAAGUAUCUGCCAGACACUUUUUGCUUACAAUUUUAUUUGCGUAAAAAUAUUCUGGAAAACCGGAUUGUCCUUUGAGCAAAAUAUAGACUGUCAUCGCAUAUGCUUUUGGUAGAGCAAGGCCGUUAUAAUGGAACUGUCAGAUCGAUGCGUAUCUGCAAAUAUUGUAAUUUAUGUGAAGUCGGGUAUGAAUUCCAUUUUAUACUUAUCUGUCCUUUUUAUAAAUGUCUACGUGUAUUGUAUUUAAAAAAUAUUACUGGACACGUCCUUCAAUGUUUGAGUUAGUUCAACUCCUGCCAUUCAGUUGUGCCAUCUCGCAAUGUAUCUGCGUGAGGCUGGUAAAAAACGGGAAUGUCAGACUAUUCGUACAGUCAAUUAAUGUAUUACCAUUCUUAUUAUUAACAUAAAUUUUUGAUUUCUUGAUUUAUACGGUCUCUCCUCCUUUGAAUGUGCAUUUAUGAAUAAUAUCUUUUGUAGAAUACUAGUAUUGUAUAACGUUAAUACUAUUAGUGACGUGUGCUUUUGCUUAGAUAUAGUGUAUGAAUAUGUUUAUAAUUAUGUACAAAUGUUACAGCUGCUAAUAAUUCAUAUGAAUUUUAGCAAAUAAAUAAUACACUACACU
rnacentral:sRNA from 1 species